rnacentral:rRNA from 1 species
AAGAGUUUGAUCCUGGCUCAGGAUGAACGCUGGCGGCGUGCUUAACACAUGCAAGUCGAACGGUGAAGCAGAGCUUGCCCUGUGGAAAGGGCGAACGGGUGAGUAACACGUGAGCAAUCUGCCCCUGACUCUGGGAUAAGCGCUGGAAACGGCGUCUAAUACCGGAUACGAGCUGCGACCGCAUGGUCAGUAGCUGGAAAGAAUUUCGGGUCAGGGAUGAGCUCGCGGCCUAUCAGCUUGUUGGUGAGGUAAUGGCUCACCAAGGCGUCGACGGGUAGCCGGCCUGAGAGGGUGACCGGCCACACUGGGACUGAGACACGGCCCAGACUCCUACGGGAGGCAGCAGUGGGGAAUAUUGCACAAUGGGCGCAAGCCUGAUGCAGCAACGCCGCGUGAGGGAUGACGGCCUUCGGGUUGUAAACCUCUUUUAGCAGGGAAGAAGCGAAAGUGACGGUACCUGCAGAAAAAGCGCCGGCUAACUACGUGCCAGCAGCCGCGGUAAUACGUAGGGCGCAAGCGUUAUCCGGAAUUAUUGGGCGUAAAGAGCUCGUAGGCGGUCUGUCGCGUCUGCUGUGAAAACCCGAGGCUCAACCUCGGGCCUGCAGUGGGUACGGGCAGACUAGAGUGCGGUAGGGGAGAUUGGAAUUCCUGGUGUAGCGGUGGAAUGCGCAGAUAUCAGGAGGAACACCGAUGGCGAAGGCAGAUCUCUGGGCCGUAACUGACGCUGAGGAGCGAAAGGGUGGGGAGCAAACAGGCUUAGAUACCCUGGUAGUCCACCCCGUAAACGUUGGGAACUAGUUGUGGGGUCCAUUCCACGGAUUCCGUGACGCAGCUAACGCAUUAAGUUCCCCGCCUGGGGAGUACGGGCGCAAGGCUAAAACUCAAAGGAAUUGACGGGGACCCGCACAAGCGGCGGAGCAUGCGGAUUAAUUCGAUGCAACGCGAAGAACCUUACCAAGGCUUGACAUAUAGAGGAAACGUCUGGAAACAGUCGCCCCGCAAGGUCUCUAUACAGGUGGUGCAUGGUUGUCGUCAGCUCGUGUCGUGAGAUGUUGGGUUAAGUCCCGCAACGAGCGCAACCCUCGUUCUAUGUUGCCAGCACGUAAUGGUGGGAACUCAU